rnacentral:misc_RNA from 1 species
GUGCCCGUCCACCGAACGGUCGGCAGGCGAUCCGCGUCGGUCUCGCGAGGUGGUAUGGUUCCCCAGAGGCCGGUUCUUGUGCUGCCUACCCCUUCAGGGGAAGAGUUCCAGACUUGAUGUAAGCCUCCAUCCGGNGCCCUCCAAAGGGCGCGGGAGGACAGAGGAGCACCCCCCGCGUUCCACCGAGCCUCCUCGGUCGCGUGGCCCGCGGGGACGUGCGAUGCUCUCGGACCCAGCGAACGCCGUGGGCGAGGACUCACGUCCCGGUCCCAAGAGAAGCUCCGAUAGAAUGCAUGACGUCCGCUCCCGCCCCCCGACCGCCCAGGCGGCGCGGGGGCGAGGCGCGGCGUCGCGGAGGAAUGCU